AUCCAGCUGACGAGUCCCAAAUAGGCCAAAACGAGCGUCCUGGAU
rnacentral:hammerhead_ribozyme from 1 species